rnacentral:rRNA from 1 species
GUCGUGGCUUGGGUUUUGCCAGCUGGCGUGAUCUCCUCUAUGAGUAAUCAUGUGAGGUGCCAGAUCUAUGGCGUUUCCCUAAUGUAUCCGGAUGCACCCUUGUCUUGGCAGAAAGCCGUGGUGAGGUGCAGUGGCGGAAUCGUGGUUUAAUAAUCGGGUUGGUACUCAGUUGUCAGUGUGUUUGGCGAUCCCCUAGUCGGCACACUUAUGAUUUCUGGGAUAAUUCCAUACCAGGCACGUUCCGUCACUGUCACUUUGUCAUUGGUUUGAUGCUGAACUUGGUCAUGUGUCUGAUGCUAUUUUCAUAUAGCGACGGUACCCUUCGUGGUCUGUCUUCCUGACCUCGGUUCAGACGUGAUUACCCGCUGAACUUAAGCAUAUCACU